GAAGUUGUAUCCUGGGAGUCCUCCUGAGACAGAGAGAGAGAAGCAGAUGAGAAGCAUGGGGAGGUCUCUCAGGCCAAGUUGCUGCGAUGGCAUUGGCAUGUAGGGGUGAGGAAGUGGCAGCUGUAUUCUAAACAGACGGGAGUUUGGAUUAUGGAGGAUCUGAUCAUCUUCUAAGUGAAAGAGAGAAUCUGGAUAUUAUUUCAUGUACAACUUACAAAGGGAACCCACUAGUACGUCUCAACAGAGGAAAGUGACUUAUACAUGCCCCCAGAGUAACCCCGGAAUGACACCUGAAGCCAGGUUUGAAACUUACAGGAGAGUAUGGAUCAUGCAAAACAGUGAACACCAGAAACCAUGAUGUCCCUCACUUUCUAGCUCAUGCUUGCCUUGUGAGCUCUUGGGAAACCGUAAUCUGGGUCCAGGAAGACAGGCUAUGACCCCGUAGACCUGGUCAUGAACACUCCUGUCUGCUGCCAAAGGAACCACAAAUACAUUCUCCCAGAUCCUUGCUCAGGAAACAAUACACUAAUGCCGGCUUGCACUCCCUCUCUACAGCACUGGAUUCAACAGGAAAACAGUGCAGGGGAAUGAAAAGGCCAGGAAGCUUUCCAGUAUGCUGACUGUCAACUUGAAGAUUCCUCAAUUUUCAGAAUAAAAGGAUUAUAAUUCAGAUGUGUGUCUGAAUUAGGAUGGCCAGGUGCCCAGUUUUUAAUGAGAAACUCCAGUUGAAAAGGGAACCUGACAGUGUACGGUCAGAUCUACUGUCCAGUUUUGGGGACUGGACACCCAAAAUCCUGUUACUGCUGAUGUGGAAGGCACUCGGUCAACACCUGUGCCAGCCCCUACUUGCCGGGGCCGCCUCCUAUCUGCGUGGAGUGGCUGUAGCUCUCAGCCCCAGCUCCGCAGAAACUAUGGCAUUAUCCUGACAGGCAAAACUUCUUCUGAAGUCAAUGUGAAGAUGACUGACCCCCGUGGUACUUCUGCCUGCCUGAUCGGACCUAUACUGGAAAGAUUCUCCCACUACUUCUUUGAUUGGGAAUUCAGGUAAAGAAACUGACUGAUUGCCCUCGGUGAUGAGGACCCUAUGACCAUGUAGUUACCAACCUGAAAGCUGGGUGUACAAAGCCAAGGCCAGCUCCUGAAAAGCUUUAUCAUCAGUCCCUGCCAAACAACAUUUGUACAUAUACAGGGUAGGGAUAUAAUAUGCUAGGGACAGAUUGUCAGUUGUUUGACCUCCACGAUCUGGGCCAGUUUUUCUAAUGAACUUAACGUGGGAAAAGUAAAUGGUAGCUGAAUUCUCUGGCUGUCAGUUAGGCCUAAUGUUAAUGGAAUGAAGAUACUUUUAUGGUGUUUAAUCACUUCCUUUAGAGAUUUUUCCGGUCUGUUUAGACUACCUGAGGAAUCCCCUCUCUUAUUGUGCAAAACUGCCACAGCUGUCAUCAGCAGGGGUGUCUAGGCUGGAUCCCCCGUCACUAUAAAAGACAAGAAAACAAGGUAGGGCAUUCUUUGUUCUGACUCCAGGACUCUGUAAUUUGCUCUGCCACCCUGGUAUGAAAGAGUUUGAAUUUAGUGACCUUCCAGGACCUUGGAUAUGUGACCUCAUGAUAUAUAUAUACUGCACUGCCGUUACCAACUGUUACGUUUAGAGGCACUGCAAAAGACACCUGUUUGACUGGGUUUAUGGAGAAGGCUGAGGCUGUGCUUCACAUAAGCAUGAAGGGGUGGACAGGAAUCCUUGAAGGUGUUUGUCUGGCUGGGUUUCUGCAGAAAUGAUUGCUUUAAUACCACUGGGAUUUUAUUGUGGAUCAUUAAUGAUGUAGGGGUGCCUGGGGCCUUGUAGAAAGGUGUUUUAUUUAUUUAUUUAAUUCCUGGUCCACUGAGAAAUCAACUCCUGCUGGGAUUGAUGGCAGCUUGUAUAUGGGCCUGUAAGGGAAACAAAUUCUUAUGGUCCUGAUUCUUAUUUACGCUAAUGUCUUUUUACUGCUCUGGCAGUAUAAAGGGACCUAAAAGUAAAGUAUGAAGCCAUUAAUGUUCCUUUCUUAAAAAGAACUGAGACAUUUGUUUACACCCCUUUUUCUGGAAUGUGCACAUAGGACUAAGUACAACUUCUGAAGUGAAAUUCUGUAGGUCAUAUUAGAUUCUUACGGCUGUCAAGGUAUUCCUAUCACAUAGUGCAGCGAAUUUAAAUACUAUAAUAAAAAGUUAAUUAAGCAUAAUAUGCAAUAUAUAUCUGAAGUAUAAAAAUGAAGGACUAAAAUUAAUAGUGCAAGAAUGCGAUUCUUUCAAUUUUGAACUAAUGGGUUUUACAUGAUAUCUUGUAUUAAACUAUAGGCUCAUUUGGGGGCUGCAGGAUAGUAAAUUUUUAUCAGCACUUAAUUUUGUUUAAUUUAGAGCAGAGUUCUGGAAUAACAUUUAUCAGACAUUUCUCAAAUUAGGUUAAUUAUGUGUGUCAAUUUUGUCCAUAAAUCAUUUUUAAAAAUAGACUAGGGACACAAGGUGGGUAAUACACUACAUUAGCGUUAAUGUCUUCUCAUAGCACAUUUUUAUUCAGAUAACAACAAUCUGAUGCUGCUGUAAAUCAUUUGUUUGUGAAGCCUGUAACAAUCACAAGUGCAAUAGGAAUAAGGUUUCAGGAGAGGUCUUAAGAUAUUGCAGGGCAUAUUCUGCAGAAUGUCUAUAGGUGUACACCAAAAUGGGAGAUUAUGCUAUGCCUUGGAAACCAUGUACAAAGUGUAUCAUCUUGUAUACUUCUUCACAAUGACAGCAAACGGUCUUUAUUGGACAGCAAACAUCAGUCAUUUGUAUUGCACUACACAAGUCUGUCUAUAAGUGUCGGCAUUUCACAUUGCGUUUCUCAGCUACUGCAUAACAAAGGGAAACCACCUGAGCUGCAGGUGUGCUUUUAUUGAUAGGGUGGUUUAACCAGUAGUGCAUGGAGUGAAUUUGGAGAACAAAUUGAUCUAAAGAAACACUCUGCAUUGAAAGAUGUUUCUUUAUAUUGCUGAUAGAGGCCAUGGUUUUAUCUGUACAAUGAAAAAUUCCUCAGACAAUGUCCCUUCCUCCAAACCUAGAAAACGUCAUUUAAAAAUAAAAAUAAAAAAAUGGUUAAGGGUGUAAGGUGACUGUGGCAUACUUACCUAUCACAUCCUUUACAAAACUAGGGAAAUUAACAGCUAGGAAAUGAUUAGUUAAGGGUAUCAUAAAUCUUAAACAAACCACAUAAUAAAUAUAGUGGCCUGGAUCCAGUCCUUGCAUCUGCCCAAGAUGAAGUCUAUAGAUUAUCUGGGCAGGAAGGAUGUAGGUGGCUUUGCAUUCCUCUGAUUCUGCAGUUAAACAGGCACCUGUUCUGCUCCCCGGGGCAACCUAGAACAGUCUCAAGGCUACACUAAAUUACACCUGGCUGCCCAUGGCACCCAAAGGCCAUUCCAGUAGCUAAGGAUGUCAAUGGGACUGUAAGAGGGAGCUGGUAUACAGCUGACUAUAGCAGCAAUAUGUCAUGAGAUGAUUUCCCCCACCAAUGCUGGGAGAAUCUUCAGGAGGCUAAUUAAACUUGGUUUAUGGCCCCUUUGCAUUGCUAAGGAACUGUAGUAGGGCUAAGAACCUGACCCAUUUUCCUUAUCAAGUAUGGAGAGAGAUUUCUUCACAAAACCUUAACUCUGACCUAUGAAUUUUUUAAAUGAGGUACGAUGGUUUUUUUUUCUUUCUUGAUUUCAGUAUCUAAGGCCUCUUUGGAAUGAGACUACACCAGAGUGAAGUUAAGAGCAGAUACUGCACAGCAACAGGGUCCAUGCAGACAGUCAGUGGAGGCUAGCGCAGAGUACCCUUGCUUGCAGUGAACUAAUUGUUUAUUUAGACAAGCCCUAAGUAUUUUCUUUUAUGGGAUGCUCUUCAAGACAGUUGGGUCCAGACUCUGUGAUUCAGGCCCAACUAUACGAAAUACUAGUAUUUUAGCUUUGGCAGAGUUGGUAGUAUCUGAUGACGCUAAAAGAUGAAUUCAGAUCCACAUAGGAGAAGCUCAUUCUAUUCAUAAAAGGACAGAAUGCAUAUGCGAGUUAUAGGUCAUUUAACUGUGGAUCUAUCUGUCUAGUUUAUCUCCUCAAUUUUAUCUAUCUAAUUUUAUCUUCUUUAACCUACCUAUGAUUUUUCUAAGAUACCCAUCACUGUGGUAUCUAAGAGGAGAAACUGAAAUCAAUAAAUAAAAUGG